GAUGAACGCUGGCGGCGUGCCUAAUACAUGCAAGUCGAGCGAACGGACGAGGAGCUUGCUUCUUUGACGUUAGCGGAGGACGGGUGAGUAACACGUGGAUAACCUACCUAUAAGACUGAGAAAACUUCGGAAAACCGGAGCUAAUACCGUAUAAUAUUUUGAACCGCAUGGUUCAAUAGUGAAAGACGGUCUUGCUGUCACUUAUAGAUGGAUCCGCGCUGCAUUAGCUAGUUGGUAAGGUAACGGCUUACCAAGGCAACGAUGCAUAGCCGACCUGAGAGGGUGAUCGGCCACACUGGAACUGAGACACGGACCAGGCUCCUACGGGAGGGAGCAGUAGGGAAUCGUCCGCAAUGGGCGAAAGCCUGACGGAGCAACGCCGCGUGAGUGAUGAAGGUCUUCGGAUCGUAAAACUCUGUUAUUAGGGAAGAACAUAUGUGUAAGUAACUGUGCACAUCUUGACGGUACCUAGUCAGAAAGCCACGGCUAACUACGUG
rnacentral:rRNA from 1 species